rnacentral:rRNA from 1 species
UACGUAGGAGGCGAGCGUUGUCCGGAAUUACUGGGCGUAAAGAGCGCGUAGGCGGCGCGGUACGCCGCUGUGAAAGCCCCCAGCUCAACUGGGGAGGUCAGCGGUAACGGCCGUGCUUUGAGUGCAGGAGAGGGAAGUGGAACUCCGGGAGUAGCGGUGAAAUGCGUAGAGACCCGGAGGAACACCAGUGGCGAAAGCGGCUCACUGGACCACACUGACAGCUGAGGCGCGAAAGCUAGGGAGCA